GAAUAAUAGGCACACGAGCUGUGGCACAGCCUCACUCCUACACGGAAGCAGUCAAUUUGGUGAUCCCGGCGGAGCAAGCCAGGCAUUGUGAGAGGUACUGCUGCUCUGCAUUUAAAAAGCAGCAGGAAGAUGCUUCCUGAUAACGGGGAUAAUGGAAUGCUCUCUCCUCCUUGAGUGGCAAUGGCUGAAGAUGAACUUCUCCAACCCAAUGAGAGCCUCCAACGGGGACUUCUCCCAACAAUUAAUGCUGAGCGGCGUCGGGGCCGCGUCCCAGUCCAUCUGCAUUCCUGCACACCUCUGCUUCGCGCUGUCAGCUGCUCAUGGUCUCUCUGGUGGAUGGAUGUGAUUACAUUGCUGUAACUAAUUUGGCAGUAUGUGCUCAAAAUCUCAGCUGACGGAGCUCGUGGCCCCGCGACCGCGUUGCAGCAGAUGGCACCGAUUCGCGGCCGCCGCGGUGACACGGGGACCCCGCUCUGCUCUCAGCCCUGGGCAGUUCCAGCAGUUUUCCUUCUGGAUGGCGGCACGGGGCCAGGCGUCAGAUGGACAGAAGGUGCGAGGUUCAGAUCCGCGCUGCCAUCAGCCCUCGCCCCACUUCACACCGCUGCAGAUUCCCAUCAGCGGAUGCGGCAGGAGGAGGCGUUUGCUGGGAAACCCCCAUGGGACGUGUGGAGGGGUGGAGGGAUCCCUGUGACUCCAUCCAGGCUCUCUUCACUGGGUCUAUUCCCCAGUGAUGUGGCAGAGUUGGGCGCCCAUGGGUGCCCUUCGGUCCUUGAAUAUGGGAUGACCAACAGAGAAGUCCCUUUUGGAGUCACCAUUCAACACCCCAAUUUGCUGUGGGUCUCAAAGCAGGAGUCACCUCGUGGGCACUGUGGGGUUGAAGUGUUGCCAGGUCCAGCAGGCACAAAGCAUUUUUAAUUGAAAAUGAGUUGUGAGGGACUCUGCAGGCUGCACCACGCACGGUGCAGGCUGAACUGCGCCCUUGGAUGCUGCCCUAUUGCUUGGGGCAGCCUUUGUGGGCAGAAAGGCAGGGUAAAUCCUGCCCCAUGGGUGACACAAGGGUGAGCUGCAUGGGGGAGAUGGGGGCAGAGAGCCCAGUGCUUCCCUCCUGCAGCAGGUUUUCCUGCAUGAAUGUCCCUUAGCAACCGAAGUGGUUCCUGAAGUGUUCGUGUUCCUGGUUCUCCUCCAUGAGAGGUUUAUUCUAAGGAGAGCAGCUCUCUGAGCUCGGUGAGCACAGUGGGAUCCGUUAUCCCCACUUGGGCAGCAUCUGCAUCAUGGUCAUGUGCUGCUGUGAGCUCUAUGAAAUGCCCUGGGGCAUGUAAGCAAGAUUCAUAGAAUCAUGGAACAUCCCGAAUUGGAUGGAAUCAAGUCCAUCCCCUGUCCCCACCCAGCACCCAAAAUACAAACCCAGGGUCUUAGAGCGGUGUCCCGGCACUCCAGCAGCUCUGGGCUAUGCCUGCUGCCCUGGGGAGCCGUUCCGUGCCCACCAUCCUCUGCUGCAGAACCUUUUCUUAAUACCCACCUGACCCUCCCCUGACGCAUCUCUGUGCCAUGAGUUGGCUGUAGGCCAUGAGUUGGCCAUGGGCCACCAUGAGUUGGCCAUAGACCGCCAUGGUGGAGCUGUAGGCCACCAUGAGCCUUUUUGCCUACACAGUGUGAACCCUUUGUGUUCCAGAUGAUCUUCGAACUCUCCCUUCCUGGGCACUUCAUUAAAUAAAAUUAAAAUUAAUUAAAAAAAAAAAAAAAAAAGAGCCUGUUUAGCAAUUUGAGAUGAUUGAAACUCCGUGGUUGGAAAAAAAAAGAGAAUACCCAAUUCCCCAGCCCCAAAAAAAAGUAGUUUAGACAAUAUAAAUGGGUUUAGACUUAUCAUCUCAACCUCUGAGGACGUGUUCAGCGCGGCGCAGAAAUGAACAAUCACCACAAUUCCUCACACAGAAAUCCCAGUGCUGCUGUCGCGUUGUCACCUCUGUGAUGCUGCACGACAUCGACAUCUCGCCGCGGUGCAACCGGUGCUGAUGAUGUGGAUUCUGCUGUAGCCAAAGGGAAAAUAUGUGCUGAAAUCUCCGGGGUUGGCUGCCGGCCCUUCAUGGCUUCAAAGCAGCGCUGAGGUCGGGAGGGGGGGGUGAAGAUCUCCAGAAUCCCAGGAGAGAUUUUCAGCUGCUUCAGGGAGGAAAAGGCUUUGGAUUAAGCUCAUCGGUGGGGAAACACAAUGCCUUCGGGCACCGCGUUGCUCAUUUGUUCCUUUGAGCCGUGCAUUUACCCACUGCUGUUUGGGUGAGUGUAGCUGUGCCCGAAGAAAGCUCUCUUUGGAAAGCCUUUGGAAAACAAAUCUGUCCUUUAUCAGUAGGCAUUCUUAGGCUGAUUCCAAAAUUAACCAAUUCGCCACUUGAUACCUGGCAUUUUGUUGGGCUUACGGCACGCAGCUGCUCAGAGAAAUCAAGAUUCUAUGACUCCAUGAAAUCCCUUUGGCCUCCUUUUUCACCAUUCCUUCUCAUGGGACUCUCCAGCCAACAGAACACACAAAGGUGCUUUGGUGUUUGGCUGGAGCCAUCCCAGAGCGCUCAGCUUCAGCCAUUUCCACCCAGGGGCUGCGUGAGAUGAAAUGUGUGCCUACAAACACUGAUCUUUUUCCUGCUUGUUUCAGUUUUAGGGGUUGAGGAAAUAAAGCAAAGCGCCCUCAGUCUCCUCACCAGGCUGAGAGGCUGUUUGUUUUAUAUACAGUGUUUUUUUCCCUGAAUCAAACUGUACACUCAUCAGAAAACGGACCUUGCUGUUUGAUGUAUGCUGGAAAGUGCCACGCGCGUUUAUUGUGCUGUAUAAAUAAAAUAUAAUAAUGCUGAGACUCAAGGACUCCCAUGGAGUCAUUCAGAAACGAGGCAGAGGGCCAGGGAAUGGAUUUGGACAAGAUUCAGGGGAGGGAAAGAUGGUUGGUUUUGUUUAUUUUAAGCAGGAAAAGAUGAGAAAGAGAGCGCUACCUGCCCCCAGAAACAGGUCCUGAGCUGCCAGUGCUCAGCACAACACCUUGAGGCUGAUGAAUGGGAAUUUCCAUCAGUCUUCAUUGAUCAUCUGGACAACGGGCAAAAAAAACAUAAUAUGGCACAGCAGCAGUGAGAUCUAUGCUGAUGGGUCACGUUAAUGCGAAACUUCCCUGUUUGCACCUUUUCCUGGAGCAACUCCAAGGCUGAUGCAAACACAAAGGGAUUCAUCACUCUCCAGCUGUCUGCAGACAGCAAACCAAGAGCAAUGUUUGACAGUGAGGAAUAAUUACCUUGCCAGCUUUGCUUUAUCCACAUUUCAAAUCCAGAAGGGAGAUAAAGGCGCGGUACCCACAGCUCAGGAGGAGCACUGAGCACAGCUGGGAGCUUCUUAUCCCGGAGAGAUACAGCACUGAAGUGCCACCUCGCCCACCAUGUCUUCUGCCUUCGGUCUUUCUUCUCCAAUCCAUCCCAUCAGUGGAGUCCUUUGACUACAAAUGACCCUAUAGAUGAUGCGUGGAUACCGAACCAAAGCCCGUCCUCAAGAACCCCAUCCAGCCUGAGCAACGGCAUCCUGGUGUGAAUCAGUGCCAAUAGAUUUUGCAUUUCCUUCCCAUCUCUUUAAUUCAAUUAGCUCGAAUAAGAAGGGCUGCUUGACCCUGAUAGGGUUAAAUGAGCCCGUCUCCAUGGCAACCAGCUUCCGAGGUGUGACAUCUCUCUGUGUUUCCUCCAAACCCUUCGAUAUUCCUCAGUUUGGUCCCUCUUUGCACAUAGCUUAAGGCACAACAUAGGGAUGUGACUGGGCUGUCCCACUGCUGUGGGGUGACUGCAGGCUCUGCUGUCAUUACGAUGUGUUUUCCAUUCAGAUCAUCUCUGGGUUGGCUCAGGACUUACAGAAAGCAUCACCUUUUGGUAAU
ensembl:lncRNA